AAAAAGAAACAGUUUCCUCAGGACCAAUUGUUUUCAACAUCUGAAACUAUUUUGGUAGGCAUCUCUAUGUUUCUAAAUAAUAUUCUUAUACGAUUGCUUUUUCUUUUUCUAGUUUUUCCAUUGUCUUUUGCUUUCCCACCAUGGAAGAGAAGAGUCAUAUCUGUCUCCAACACAUCCACACGUCUUGUUUUCUUACCCUCCCAGCUGGUUAUAAUUUUCAUUACAUCAUUACUCAGUUUUUACAUUAUUGUGACUAUGUGAAAACUAUGGACAGCUGAACUAUUUAGUAUACUAUGGUUAGUUUUCCUUCCCUGUACACUUUUUGCUUAAUAAGUCUUUGUUGUUAUUUGCCUAGUUUUCUAUGUAUUAACUACUACUUGUCCCUAAACUCAACCCCAGCAGUCCAACACCCUUUUUAGUAUCUUCAAACAUGUAAGAUAUGCUAGCAUUUCAUCUCGAGACAAGGUCUCCUGGAGCAUUCUAGCCUUUGCCAAUUUUGCAUUGGUGUGUACCAAGGUCUUGCAUAGUCAUUUUCUUGAGACCUCCUUCACUGCCAUCCUUCACCUUUCUCUUCUAAUUGUCAUUUAUAUCCUGUGUUGCUUUUGAGAAUUCCAGUGCUGUUCUGACCCUUGACCCAUUUUCCUGAUUUUGUUUCUCUUUCCUGAAGCUUUUAGAAUCUUCACUCUCCCUGACAUUCUGGAAUUUCCCAGACAUGUCUGGGUGGGUGUCUGUGGGCUAGCAUCCAUUGGCCUCUGCACUCUGGAAAUUCGUGCCCUUCAGUUCUAAGAAAUUUUCCUGAGUUAUUUCUUUAUAAUGUGCUUCCCUUUGUUUUCUUUGUUCUCCAUUUCUAGAACUACUGUUACUCAGAUACUGACCCACCUAGCUUGUUCUCUAAAUUGUGUCAUUUCCUCCCCAAUUUUUAUUUCUGUAUGUAAUUUUUUAAAGCUAUUUUUUCCCUUAAAUUUUUUUAAAGUAUCAUUUUGUUCUUGUUGCACGGAUGCAAAAUCAACUCUUCUCUCUGAGGAUGUUAAUAAUUAUUUUUUCUUACUUAGUUUUUUCUGCCUGCAUGGACUCUCUUCCAAGCUGCUUUUCCCUUUUUGUUUUAGCCCCUGUUUAGUAUUACAGCCUUUAAAAAAAAUGUUUGGUAAUUCUUUGCUAUCUGUUCAUGUGUAAGAGUGGGACACUUAAAAAGCUGCUUUCAGAAAGUAGGACAAGACUCUCCAGAUAGGAGAGUAGCAGAGCCUUCUCUGGGAAAUACCAUCAGCCCAACAGGAAAAAAGCUAAAGAUAAUAACAUUUGGGGUUCACUUAUGAAACCGUCCAGCCAGGACACCUGAAAGAAUUGUAUAGAUUAGAAAUAAUAAAUACAAAGGUGGGUAAGUAUUGGCUACUUUAAUAUUCUCUAUUCUUGUAAGAACUGACCCUGAAACUUUGUGGUUUGGUUGGUUAACCCAACAGAAAUCUCUUAGAAGGAAUGCCUUCAUUUGGGGAUUAUUUUUACAAAUCAUUUUGAGAUAUUUGAGUAAUCACAUGUGCUCCUGGUUUGCUCCCGCCUCUGCCCUCCUAACCUCAUUUUCCUUUCAUUAGGCUAAUGUAUUAGGUACAAGAAAUCAGAGGGAAGUAGUGUUCUUUGGAAGAUUUUGCACUGGUGGCUUCUCCCCGCUUUAGGGGCAGCAGUUAUCUUCAGAGUGAGCGCUUAGAGGUGAUGGAGUCAGGUUUUACUGUUUCUUUGACUUGUAUUAAUGCUAAGUUUUCUCCUGACAGCACUCUUGUUGCAGAAACAGAAACGAUUGGUAUAUUGGUCUGUGUAGGACCAUUUGGGUUAAUGAUCUCUACCAUUAAUGGCUGAUGUGGCAGGUCUAAGAGGCUACACACUAAAGGUCAUAAGACACCCUGAUUUUCUUACUGAAAUUCUUUUUAUUUCUUUAUGAAAUUCCAGCUGUCUAGAACUUUUUCUGCUUAGUGUUUUGUUUAACAGAAGAAGCAUGGCUUCGGGGAAGGAAGUCUUAUAUUAGCUAAUCCUUUCCUCUUCGUUCCCGAUGAGCUUCAAACUAAGAAAGAUGAAAGAAGCCUGGACUGGAGGGAAAAAGGAAAAAGGGAAGGAGUGAGAUCGUAACUAGAGAGGAACACAGGGUUGAUGAAAAGAUUUUGAUGAAAGUGGAAAAAAAACUGAGCAUGUUUGUAUACUGAAGGAAUGGAGAUAAUAGUAGCUAACAUUUAUUGAAAAGAUACUGGAUUUCAGACCCUCUUUUAAGGGCUUUACAUCUGUUAACUCAUUUACUCUUCACAACAUCCCUGUGACAUAGACACUGUUUUCCUCAUCUUACUAAUGAGGAGAGUUAAUCACAGAGAUUGUUACAUGGCUGACAACUAGUCAAGAGCAGAAACAGAAUUUGAACCCAGGGAUUUUGAUGCAAUAACCCAGCUGUUUACCGUUACCCUGUUUCCUCACUAGAACAGUUGGAUGUUGAAGAUUUGGAACAAAUCAUUAUUAAUGGAUCAAGAUUCCAGACGGGAGGGUAUAAAAUCAGGAGCGUAGGUGGGAAUGUUGGUCUUGAGUAAGAAUAAGGAUAUUUUAUUCUGAAGACUAGAAACUGGGGGUACAGUUUGGAGGUGGUAAGUUUAGGGAGGGGAUGGGGUAUUGUGAAGUUUAGGAAAUGAAAUUUCCUGAUUGUGUCAUCCUUUUCCUAUCAAAUAUUUACGCAUGUGUUGAAUUUAUACCUUUUUUAUUACAAAACAUAAUAGAUAGCGAAAAUUGCUUAAAACAAACAUGUAGCUUAUCAUAAACGGUUUUAAGAUGCAACCAUCAUGCAGGUAAAGAAAAUAACAUGUUGUUAGCCAAUCCAGAAGCUUUCCAGGUGCUCCAUUCCAAUUAAAAUGCUCUUUUUCUCCCCAAAUUGAUUAUUUAAAUGUGUAUUGUUUAGUUUUCAAAUAUUUGGAAUUUUCCAGCUUUUGAGUUACUGACUUCUCAUUUAAUUCUAUUGUGGUCAAAGAACAUAGUCUGUGUGAUUUUAAUUCUGUUAAAUUUAUUGUGGUUUGUUUUGUUACCUAGCACAUGAUCUAUCUUGCUUAAUGUUUUAGGUUGACUUGAAAAAAAGAAUGUGUGUUCUGUUGUCAUUGGGUGGAGGGUUUUAUAAAUUUCAGCUUGAUAACACUAGUUGCUCAUGUUGUUUAAAUCUUCUAUAUCCUUGUUGAUUUUAUGUCUACUUGUAUUAAUUUCUGGGAGAGGAGUGUUGAACUCCCCAACCGUAACUGUGGAUUUGUCUGUUUUUCCUUUUAGUUCUGUCAGUUUUUGCUUCUUAUAUCUUGAACCUCUGUUGUUAGUUGUAUACACAUUUAGAAUUGUUAUGUCUUCUUGGUGCAUUGAACCUUUUCUCAUUAUGUAAUAUUCCUCUUCAGUCCUUUUAAUUGUCCUUGUUCAGAGUCUUCCUUGGCUGUUAUUAAUAUAGCUACUUCAAUUUUUUUAAAUUAGUGUUCAAAUUAGUUUUUUCCUAUCAUUUCACUUUCUUUUCCCAUAGCCUUUUAUCUUUCCAUUUAUGGAUCUUCCUUCUCCGACAAGAAAUGUAUGACUCCCUUUAUCCUGAAUAUAUUUAUUUUCUGAAUUCUUUAUUACAUAAAAAGUAGUUAAGUAAGUUAGCCCACACCACCAAAAAUCUAAGCCUACUAAACAGAGUUCAAAUUCUAUUUAUAGUGCUUUUUGUCUUUAGUCUAAAGGUAUAUUGUCUAAAUUCUGUAUUCAAAAGUUACUUGGGUUAAUCUCCUCUACCCUCAUCUACUAUGGUUAUGUUAUUCUUUGAAAUAAAGUAUAGUUAAGUUCU